rfam:Ovis aries breed Texel chromosome 17, whole genome shotgun sequence.
UCCCUGGUGGUCCAGUGGCUAAGAUUUGCACUCCCAAUGCAGGGGCCCUGGGUUCGAUCCCUGGUCAGGGAA